UGUUUAAUUUUAUUCAUCAUGAAAAAAUUGUACUUAAAAGGUUGGAAAGACGUAAGAUUUACUAACUACAGUUUCAGAAUUUCUGAGGAAAAUCACAAGUGCCUAUGGUAUCAUGGCCCCUGCGCAAGGAUGACAUGCAAAUUCAUGAAGCGUUCCAUAUUUUU
rfam:Egretta garzetta contig33765, whole genome shotgun sequence.